rnacentral:rRNA from 1 species
CCGUUAGGAGGGAAACGAAUGCAGCCAAAGUGGCUCCCAUUCAGGCUCAGGAGUUGUUGGCCUGCAGUGCCGGGCUGUUGGACGCCGAAGGGUGCUGCAGCCAGGAUACAGCAGCCGACUGCUCUGCAUUCCUGAUGGGAGUCGGCCAACAGCAGUUACCCUUGACUCGGGAUGGCCGGUGGGAAGGUAGCUUCUUGGUUUACCAGGAAGAACUUAGAGCCAUUGGCCUGGCAGUUGGGGUUGACYGAGGAGUGCUGUGACUUUUCACACCAGCAGUGCAGGCUCCCUAGGGGCCGGGUCGCUUCUGUCCGUGUGGGCAAUGCUUCUGGGACUGCGUGCAGUGUCGGAGGACAUGUGUGUGCUCGGGUGGGAGGUCGGCCACGCCAUGCACUGAAGUUGUUGGUACCUGGAUGGUUUCAUUCGACCCGUCUUGAAACACGGACCAAGGAGUGCAACAUGCGUGCGAGUCUUGGGGUGGAAAACCUGUUGGCACAAUGAAAGUGAAGGUAGGCAUUGGUCUACCGAGGCAAGAGCCUCCUUAGGGGGGCACAUUGUCGACCGAUCCCAGGCUACGCUGUAGUGGGAUUUGAGUGAGAGCGUGCCUGUUGCGACCCGAAAGAUGGUGAACUAUGCCUGAA